ACGAACGCUGGCGGCGUGCUUAACACAUGCAAGUCGAACGGAAAGGCCCUGCUUUUGUGGGGUGCUCGAGUGGCGAACGGGUGAGUAACACGUGAGUAACCUGCCCUUGACUUUGGGAUAACUUCAGGAAACUGGGGCUAAUACCGGAUAGGAGCUCCUGCUGCAUGGUGGGGGUUGGAAAGUUUCGGCGGUUGGGGAUGGACUCGCGGCUUAUCAGCUUGUUGGUGGGGUAGUGGCUUACCAAGGCUUUGACGGGUAGCCGGCCUGAGAGGGUGACCGGCCACAUUGGGACUGGGAUACGGCCCAGACUCCUACGGGAGGCAGCAGUGGGGAAUAUUGCACAAUGGGCGGAGGCCUGAUGCAGCAACGCCGCGUGCGGGAUGACGGCCUUCGGGUUGUAAACCGCUUUCGCCUGUGACGAAGCGUGAGUGACGGUAAUGGGUAAAGAAGCACCGGCUAACUACGUG
rnacentral:rRNA from 1 species